CCUACGGGAGGCAGCAGUGGGGGAUAUUGGACAAUGGGGGGAACCCUGAUCCAGCGACGCCGCGUGAGUGAAGAAGUAUUUCGGUAUGUAAAGCUCUGUCAGCAGGGAAGAAAGAAAUGACGGUACCUGACCAAGAAGCCUCGGCUAACUACGUGCCAGCAGCCGCGGUAAUACGUAGGGGGCAAGCGUUAUCCGGAAUUACUGGGUGUAAAGGGAGCGUAGACGGUUAAGUAAGUCUGGAGUGAAAGGCCGGGGCCCAACCCCGGGACUGCUCUGGAAACUAUUGAACUUGAGUGCAGGGGAGGUAAGCGGAAUUCGUGGUGUAGCGGUGAAAUGCGUAGAUAUUAGGAAGAACACCAGUGGCGAAGGCAGCUUACUAGACUGUGACUGACGUUGAGGCUCGAAAGCGUGGGGAGCAAACAGGAUUAGAUACCCGAGUAGUC
rnacentral:rRNA from 1 species